AUGGCUGAAGUGGAGCAGAAGAAGAAGCGAACCUUCCGCAAGUUCACCUACCGUGUCGUAGACCUCGACCAACUUCUCGACAUGUCCUAUGAGUAGCUGAUGCAGUUGUACAGCGCCCGCCAAAGGCGGCGCCUGAACCGUGAACCACUCACUGCUCAAGCACUUGAGAAAGGCCAAGAAGGAGGCACCACCCAUGGAGAAGCCCAAGGUCAUAUCACACCUUAGGGACAAGAUCAUCCUGCCCGAGAUGGUGGGCAGCAUGGUGGGCGUGUACAAUGGCAAGCCCUUCAACCAGGUGAAGAUCAAACCAGAGAUGAUCGGCCACUACCAGGGCAAGUUCUCCAUCACCUACAAACCUGUAAAGCAUGGCCAGCCUGGGAUUGGUGCCACCCACUCCUCCCGAUUCAUCCCCCCAAAUAG
rnacentral:lncRNA from 1 species